GGACCACUUUUAAAGUACUUAUUGAAUUUGUUACCAUAUUGCUUCUGUUUUAUGUUUUUAGGGCACAAGGCAUAUGGGAUCUUAACUGCCCAGCCAGGGACUGAACCCUCAUCUCUUGCUCUGGAAGACAAAGUCCUAAUCACUGUUCCGCCAGGGAAGUCCCUACUACUUCGUUUGCAUAAAAGCAGAAAUACUAUAGCUUCUUCUGGAAGCCAAGGAGGAGCCGGAAAAUUACCUCCAAUCACGAUUCGGAAGCACAACCUCAGGCCUGAAGGCCAGAUGCGGGAUCUCCAGAGGCCAGCGCUGACCCCAGGAUGGCAGGGAAGCUGGGUCCGGCUAAUGAUGAUGAAAGAUACGUGGAAAAGGCAAUCAGGCACGAAGCCAGGAUUUAGGUCGUCCAUUCGAGUCGAUCAGCCCUGUGCAGCGACUUCCUCACCUCUUAGAGGAGCCUCCCAGACUGGGCCUGGAAAUCAUCUCGUGAAGUGCAGCAUGUCACGUCACGGGAAUUGUGGACAGCUGCAAGAUGAACUGCAGCAGGACUGAGAUACUGCUGGAAUGCUCCUGUUCAUUUGCUGCAAUAAUUGUACAAAUGGUGCUGCCUCCCUUUUUCUAGCAUGUUUUCUUUUAGCAAUUCCAGAUAGGGCUGUGUUUCUAAAAAUUAAUCCUGUUUGGGCCACCAGAGAUCAAGCCUAUCAAACUGACUUUAGCGAGUGAUCAGUAUAUAAAGCCUACUUGAGACGUGAGUGUUGGAACUGUGCUGUGGGGUAGGCUUUAAACAUGGGCCCAGAAGGGCUUCCCAGAUGGCAUUAGUGGUAAAGAAUCCACCUGCCAGUGCAGGAAAUGCAAGAGAUCUGGGUUCAAUCUCUGGGUUGGGAAAAUCCCCUGGAGGAAGAAAUGGCAACCCCCUCCAGUAUUUUUGCCUGGAGAAUCCCAUGGAUAGAGAAGCCUGGCAGGCUACAGUCCAUGGAGUCACAGAGAGUCGGACACAACUGUGCAAACGAGUCAGAAGGGAAUCGAGGUAUUAAGUGUGAGCUCAAAAGCAGGUCCCAGUCUGUGCUGAAUAGAAGGCAGUUGUUCCAGCUUCCCUCCUGGCCCCAAAGAACAUCUUGGCUGAGGCUGAUCAAGUUCCGAACAGAUGAGAGGGUAGAAAGCAACUCUUUGAAUUAACGGGUUUGAAUUAAGGCCAGCCUGCAUGCCUCACUGUUCUGCAGUGUGAACCAGGUUUUUUAAAGUGUAAACAAUGAGAGGGCAGGAGGCAAAUCCUAUGUUUGGUGCCCAAGGAUCAGUUACAAAUUAUCUUAUUGAUUUUUAGAUUUUUUUUUUUUACUCCCUGGGCCAUCAGCCUUCCUGCAUUGCAGACCCAGAGCAGAGAGCAGUUUGGGAGGGGGAGGGGAGGCCCUGGGGAUCUUCCUGGGGAGGCAGAAGCGUCCUGCAAGCUUGGCGGUUGGAGGUUGGGUUGGAUGUCCAUCCGUUGCUCGACAUCAUCGAAAGCUCUGUUGGCAGCAGCACGAGGGGGCAGCAGGACACUAGGUGUGUGCACGCAUGUACUGCCUGAUGUAGUAGGUGUGUAUGUACACCUAUGAUACAGGGCUUGACGCACACAAAAUGCUGGCGGUCUGCGAUGCUUUCCUGAGGAUGGGGACUGUCUUUCUCUCAUCUCUGAACAUCCCAGUGGCUAACAGAGUGCUUUUCCUAAAUGAGUCACAGAGAUGAAACCAACAUGUAAGAAAGAAGCCAAGUGACUUCCCUGGUGGUCCAGUGGUUAGAGUUUACGCUCCACUGCAGGGGGUGCAGGUUCAAUCACUGGUUGGGGAGCUGAGAUCCCGCAUGCCUGGUAACAAAAAAGUCAAAACAUAAAACUGAAGCAAUACUGUAACAAAUUCAAUAAAGACUGAAAAUGGUCCA
ensembl:lncRNA